rnacentral:rRNA from 1 species
AAUCAACGCUGGCGGCGUGCCUCAGACAUGCAAGUCGAACGCGAAAGUCUCCUUCGGGAGGCAAGUAGAGUGGCGCACGGGUGAGUAACACGUAGGUAAUCUACCUUUGGAUGGGGAAUAACAACCGGAAACGGUUGCUAAUACCGCAUAAUGCAGCGGCACCUAAUGGUGACAGUUGUUAAAGCGGGGAUCGAAAGACCUCGCGCCUGAAGAGGAGCCUGCGGCGGAUUAGCUAGUUGGUAAGGUAAUGGCUUACCAAGGCUACGAUCCGUAACCGGCCUGAGAGGGCGGUCGGGUCACACUGACACUGACAUACGGGUC